rnacentral:rRNA from 1 species
AGAGUUUUGAUCCUGGCUCAGGAUCGAACGCUGGCGGCGUAGCUUAACACAUGCAAGUCGAACGAAGCACUUAGGAAAGAUUCUUCGGAUGAAAGCCUUUUGUGACUGAGUGGCGGACGGGUGAGUAACGCGUGGGUAACCUACCUCAUACAGGGGGAUAACAGUUGGAAACGACCGCUAAUACCGCAUAACCCCGCUAGUAUCGCAUGAUACAGACGGAAAAGAUUUAUCGGUAUGAGAUGGACCCGCGUCUGAUUAGCCAGUUGGCAGGGUAACGGCCUACCAAAGCAACGAUCAGUAGCCGGCCUGAGAGGGUGAACGGCCACAUUGGGACUGAGACACGGCCCAAGCUCCUACGGGAGGCAGCAGUGGGGAAUAUUGCACAAUGGGGGAAACCCUGAUGCAGCGACGCCGCGUGAGUGAGGAAGUAUUUCGGUAUGUAAAGCUCUAUCAGCAGGGAAGAAAAUGACGGUACCUGACUAAGAAGCCCCGGCUAACUACGUG